CAUAAAUGCCUCCGAUCCGCUCUUACAUUGAACAUGACAAUGUGAUUUUUUAAAUUUAGCGUCAAACUUGGUUGGAUCAGUCGUAUUAAUAAAAAAAGUUUGAUUGAAAUAAAAAGUGUGACACCCUCGGUGAAACCUGGCUAUACAUAAGCAAUUUUUAGCAGUUAUAAUCUUGUGGAAUGCAUCAUUAGCAUUGCCUAUGUACACUGAGUCUGACCAUCAUGCACAUAUUGCAUGACCAUCGAGUAUUAUAGAAUUUUA